rnacentral:rRNA from 1 species
AAUCUUCCACAAUGGACGAAAGUCUGAUGGAGCAAUGCCGCGUGAGUGAAGCAGGGUUACGUCAANUAAAAAUAUGUUUUUAAAGANGAACACCUUUGAGAGUAACUGUUCAAGGGUUUACGGUAUUUAACUAGAAAGUCACGGCUCACUACGUCGCAGCAGCCGCAGUAAUACGUAGGUGGCAAGCGUUGUCCGGAUUUAUUGGGCGUAAAUCGAGCGCAGGCGGUUUUUUAAGUCUGAUGGGAAGGCCUUCGGCUUAACAGGAGAAGUGCAACGGAAACAGGGAGACUUGAUUGGAGAAGAGGACAGUGGAACUCCAUGUGUAGCGGUGGAAUGCGUAGAUAUAUGGAAGAACACCAGUGGCAAAGGCGGCUGUCUAGUCUGUAACUGACGCUGAGGCUCGAAAGCAUGGGUAGCGAACA